rnacentral:rRNA from 1 species
UACGUAGGGUGCGAGCGUUAAUCGGAAUUACUGGGCGUAAAGCGUGCGCAGGCGGUUCGUUGUGUCGGCGGUGAAAGCCCCGGGCUCAACCUGGGAAUGGCCGUUGAAACUGGCGAACUGGAGUGUGGCAGAGGGGGGGUGGAAUUCCGCGUGUAGCAGUGAAAUGCGUAGAGAUGCGGAGGAACACCGAUGGCGAAGGCAGCCCCCUGGGCUGACACUGACGCUCAUGCACGAAAGCGUGGGGAGCAAACAGG